CCUGAAUCACAGUACUGCCUGAUGUUUUCUAACUGCAAAGGUCAGCCUGAUGAGUAAUUCUGAGCCUUCACCAAGAAAUGGUGAUUAUUCAGAGAAGAAUGCUAAGCAGCUGGACUGUAUGUAUCAUAUGGACGACCGCUUGUGGGUAACUUCAGACUGCAGUUUUGUCUACGGGGAAAAAAUCAGAUGAGACAUUCUGAGGAAAACCCUGAAGCAGGAAAAAAUGAGCCAUAUGGAAACUUUGCUCCAGUUUGCCCUAAACUCUGGUGAUGUUCUGUGAAGAGGAGGAUGAAGAAUGGAGAAAAUUGUUUUGACUGGUCAGCAACAUGGAGGUUGAGGAAAAUUGAAGAAAGAAAUACUGUCUGGGAACCAGUUUCAUUUAAUUUUCUCUUUUCAUUCUUGUAACUGCCCAAGUGGAAGCAUUUGCUGCUCUGGGAAGGAAAGGAUUUCCCCAUGGAAGACAGCUUUUUGGCAAGUCAAUAAGUUUCUAACCUGCCAAAUAGUUGUGGUGGCGUUGUCCCAGGAAAGCAUUCAGUACUUCUGUUUUGGAGAACUGAAAACAGAACUCAAAUACAGUACAAAGUUAAGACAAGAACCUUUUGCAGCUUCAACAACAUCUCUUCAGCUAAGUACCUACUUAAUUGAAAAACAGUGCAGUGUGUGGGGGAAGAAAAACCACUCUACCCAAACCUUUCUCUAUGCAGGCUGAGAAAGUGAGCUACAGAUGGAUUCCAGAGGCAUCGUUUCUCAUGGAUCAUUCUUCACUGCUAUUCCUUUAGUCUUAGGAGCACUUUAGCAGCAGGUUUGACAAACAGCUCAUCUCCUGCAUUAUGUUGGGCCAAAACCUGUGAAGGUUUAAAGCUUGAACUUGUGAACUCAGUGACUGGUGCUAUGGUCUGCAGUAUUGCUUUAGUGAGGAUCCUUCCUUCACAUCAUCCAUCACAGACAGGCACUGAGGUGAGAAAGAGAAUAACAAAUUAUAGAGUCGUGCAACGCACCAAGACCUGUAGAAGAGAAGAUUUGCUAAACUGGAACAGCUUAACUAAGUGAUGUUUGGACCUGAUACAGCGUGCUAAUCAUUGAGUUUCAAGGGAGCCUACUGCUUUUGCCAGCCCUGCAGAUUCACCCCAUCCGCACUGCUAAAUGAAAAAGUUUUUGCGUUUCUGGUGUCUGUGUGGAGGACUCAGCAAGCAAACAGCGUGUCCUGGCAGGCAACAUCUGUGCUCUGCACCUGCUGGAAGAUAGUCAGUGCCAAGUGGUGGAAAGACAAUGACAUCUGAAUUUCUGCAAUGCGUGAUACAUGCAUAUCCUAAACAUAUGGAAAUAUCUGUGACUGCAGAUGACUACCUCCAGCUCCUUUUGAAGUGAGCUUUCAGGAGCACACAACGUUGAGUAAACUUUCUUGGAACUGCUUGUAGCUCAAAGGCCUUGAAAAGCCAGUCUGCUUUUCCUCACAAACCCCAGUGAACAUGAGAGUUAGCAUUCAAUCGUCAUGACAUCAGAGCUGCCAUUUGAGAGUGAUGGUGGUGGAGAACUCAUCCAGGAAGUUCAAAGGGAACUGAAAGGCAAAGGGAAUCGUUUCUGUCUCACCUUGUUGAUUACAAACCAGUUGGACUAAAGCAGGAACGCCAAGCAUAGCACGGUAAUUCCUCCAUUUUCUAUCUUGUUAGGUUACUUUUUAAAAUACCUAUAAACACUGUUGAUAAUCCUUUGUUUUCCUUUGUACAUGUUUUAGCAAUCUGGAGCCAGUGUUUCUUUCCAUUUGUCCUAGAAUAAUCCCUAAUGGAUAGGUACUGCUGAACAUAAAUGUGAUGACAGCUAAUUGCAGACAUAUGAAUGUCUUUUUUUGUGUGUGUACAUGUAUAUGUAUUUACAAGAAAAGUUCUGACCAGUCUAUACUGUACUUUUAAAUCUGACUUUUUCUUCCUCUCUCCAGGUUAGUAGUGUCUAAGAGAUAUAGAUUAACCAGGUAUAAGCAUAAGUUUCAAAAACACCUCUCUCUUCAAGCUGCUGUUUCUACCUACUAGAAAUGAUGCAAGUGAUUUCUGUCUGCACUGAAAAUCAGAGUAAUUCAGGAUGUCAUUCCCUUUCUCUCUGUGCAAAGGUAGUAAAAAUCAAGCUGAAAUUGCCUUUCAAGAAUGAUUUUCAGUGGAAGAAUCAAAAUCAAGCCUGCCAAUGUGAGGAAAUCCAAUUUUGUUGUCAAGCACUUUUCUUUCAUGAGAACAGUGUGUUAGGGUACCUGUCCUCUAUAGAACAUGGAAGUGCAAGCAAGUAAAAGUCUGUGCAAACAAUCUGGCCCUCCACGUGUUGUCAAGGCCUUCAUCAUUAGUGUCAUGUGAUCUUGUUUGGGUUUUUGUUGUCUGGUUUGAAAAGUAUUUUUGCUAGUGUCAUACACAACAUUUUCUGUGUUUAUUUAAUGAUGCUAUGGGUCACUGAUAAAAGAAGAGGGAAAUGGAGAGCUGAAAAGUGAAUAGUGACACUGAAAUUUCACUGGUGUACAAAGCUCAAGUAGAGCAAAAGGAUAGCCCCAUGGAAAAGCCACGAUCUAAAGCUGUUUGGGAGUAGAUUCAAGUAAAAUUUUUGUUUACGUGACAGUGCACAGCUCAUGGAAGUGGCAGUUAAGUUUCAGCCAUUCAGACUUUUACAUUUUAGCCUAUGCUCUUUAGUCUACUUUUAAUAGAAAAGCAAGUUAGAUAAUCUUACCUAAUGCUGCAAAUCAAGCAGAGUUUCAAAGAAGAAAGUACACUUCUUUUUGGAUUGCUGUUGUCUAAAUGUUAUCAACUGCAACAUAUUGCCCAUGAAUCAAAGAGAAUAAUUUCACUAGAAGCAGGGGAAGGACUUGGGGAAAUAUACAUCUGUUACUUAAGAGGCAGCAAAUAAUGGAUGAUAUGGAAAAUAUUGAAUGCUUAAUGCUCUUUUCCUGCUGACUUAAAAAAUGCCUUAAUGUGACUACAUGUUUAGUAGCACGAAAAAUAACAAACAAAAAAACAAACAAACAAAAAGGGAUUAUGAGGCUGUUCCAAAGUUAAGGGGAAAAAAAACAUCACAGGAAAAUUUUGAGGGAAAUUGUGGCCAUCAAGGUCGAGAAAGAACAGAAAACUUGUUGUGGAGCUGCCAAGAAACUAACUGAGGCAAUCUUGAGGGACAAAAGAGAUACAGUAGAGAAAAGCAGCUCUAACAUCUAUUUUUAAAUGAAGGAAUUAAUGUUCUAUAGUGUUAUAGACUAGUCAUCUGAAUUGCGUAUCAAAAAGAUAUCAAGCUUACUAAGUUAUGGGGAAGAGCUUAUACGAUGACAAAUGGGAUCUGCCUAGUGUAAUUUGCAAGCAAACUGGUUCAGUGAGUAUGAGGUGGUUAGCCAUAGAUGAGAUAUGCUUUGAUGCUGCAUGAAGCUUGUCAGAAGCAAACUAGUAGAUCUAACAUAAGGAAGAUAUGUUCUGCUUUCUGCUGUCAUCCCGAAAGAAUGGUACAAAAAGGCUAUUCCCUCUUCUUUUUUUUUCCAUUGUUUUAUUGUGGUCCAGAUUCCCUGUAGUGGUCAGUAAGAUAGGAAAGUAAUGUGCAAUUUGCUGGAGGCUUUCUUUUUUUCAUGCUAGCAGUGAGGCUCAGUGCAGGACUGACUCCAAGAAUGCAGACAGGGCUGCCUGGUUUUGAAGGCUCAUAAUUCACUCGUUCUGACUUCACUUUUGUCCCCUGGUUGGAGAUCUUAGCCGCGUCUGAGGUACCACAAGCAAAAGCCUGCAGGAGUAGCCUCUCCUGAUGGCACUGGAGUGUGUGUGGGGAGGGCAUGAACCUUUAGGAUUAUUUGUUUGUUACUGUGUAUUUAAAACGCAGGACUUGGGCGUGUAGGAGCUUGGCUACUUGCCUGUCGCUGUCAGUUCCUUCUUUAUCCAUUGCACCUUGCCUUUAUUAAGGCAUCAGAUCUUCACAUCAGCAGUGCAGCUGAUGGGAUCAGGUAGCUUACUUCUGACCAGAUGAGCGUAUCUGCACAUAUACCCUGGAAACUUGCAGGGAAGUGCUGUGGGGAUAUAGUCAGUCUGCAGAGGGGCAAACUGGGGUGCAGAUCAGGCAGCCAGAUCCCAGCCGGGGACUUUGGUUGGAGUAUGGUACGCUGUCUCUUGAGAGGGAAAACAGAUACCAUGUGGAGGAUUUUGUCUCCCUCUGCGUACUGUGCCACUAGGGGCAAGGCUGGGUGUGCAUGCUGCUGUGGCUAUGGGAGCAGAGCCCACUCCAGUGAAAAACAUAAUCUCCAUUGUGAGUCUUAGGGGAGGAUGUGCUUGGGUUCCUUACCGGGAAAUAUAUCUGCCACCAAUACUGAAGAAGCUCAGUGAACGAAAUAAAGUGUUUUUUAGAGAGGAAAACAUAGAGUGCAGUAAGACAUUCAGCGUGCCAAUAUUCAGCAUGCUUUCUGCAUAAUUAGCAUGCAAUUACAGAAAAUAAACACAGGCUCCUUUAGAAUUUUUUAUUAUUAUUAUUACUAUUAUUUUUUGCUGAGGCCUGUUUCAGUAUACAAAGCUAAUACUGCCAUGCCAGAUUUUACACAACAGCUGCCAUUGAUGCUGGCUGCUAUGGAAAAGAACCUCCUGAAGUGAACUUUUUUAUAAGCUUCUCAGUUUAAGCCUCAGCUGUACCUCAUGGCUGUGAUUUACCUGUGGAAGCCUAGCAUUAGCUUGGUCUGGAAUGCUGUGCUUAGCCGUUGCUCAAAUUUGAGUUAAAAUCUACAGUGGAAAAUUCUGUGCAGCGGAAUGCAUUAGUAUUCCAUAGAAGUCAGAAUAUACCUAUACACUGACCUCUAUUUUGAAUCAAUUUUACAGCCUUAAAUGAUUAAGGCUUGAAAUAAAUGAUUGAAUAUGCCUUGUGAGAAUAUGUGUGAUGAAUAAAAAGAUGACAAAUACCUCAUUUUCUGCUGAGACUUGGAGAAGAUACAUCUUGUUAAAAAAAUUAGCAGAGUGAUGAUGAGUAAUAAUCUGAAUUUUCACUGUCAUUUAACGGAGGGAUUUGCUAAACCAGGGUUUUCCUGGGAUGUUUAGAAUCUUUCUUAGCAUAGUACUGCAUUUUGACUCCUAGUGUCCUCUCCUUUUAACUUGAUGAAGUUGUAUGUCUACAUCAGAGCUGUCCACUGCUAGCAAGAAACUUGUGACAGAUGUUCCCAGCUGAAAAGAGACUGAAUUGAUUUCCCUAUGGCUGGCUGUUAAGCUGUAAAAUCAUUUCAGUCACUUGACCUGUGAUUUGAGAAGACUUAGGAAUGGAUCUAAAAUCCUUAGGAGUGCUAUUAGAUAAUAUAUAAUAUAUGUGUGGCAAAAAAAGCCGGUAGCAUUCACUCAGACCUAGCUUUUAGGCCCAGUAUUUAAGUAUGUAUUUCCUGAGAGGCUCCGGUGUACUCUGUAAUUAAUGUAUUCGGUAAUUUAUCACCAAAACCUGUGACAAGUAAUGCCUUUUAACAACAAACAGAAAGAUCACCUUUUUGAAAUUCACCAAGCAGAACCUAUGCAGACCGGUGUCUCUUGCCUCCUUUUGGACCUGAAGGUACUUCCACUUUUUGUUUUAUUAAAAUUCUUAUUUAUCUUGACAUUAAUGUUAUUGAGCAUGUUGUUAGAAAGCAUGGAACUGGUCCUACACUUCUGUGAGAGGAGCUUUAACGUGUCCAGCUGCUCUGUGGUGCCUCUUGGCUGCUGCAGUAGCUUUGGGCAGUUUUCUGACCAUCGGGAAGCUGACCCAGCCAUGUCAAACCUUAUGCACAUUUAUUUCCUGGACAGAUAGAGGAGGCAAUUUCAAAAAAAUAGGCAGACAAAAAUUUCCUUUUGGGGAAGAGUUCUCAAAAUAAAGUGUUGUUUAACAGCAGAACGUUUCUUUAUACUUUCUGUGUAAUUAGCAGAAAGUAAAUUAGAAGAAACUAGCCAGAAGUAAUCUUUAUAAACCUUGUAUUGCGUCAGAAAAGGGCCUUUUUGUGAUUUUGCUGCUAGGGAUUCACGUCAGCACAAGACAUUAAGGAAAGAUUGUUCCAAUGGAAGAUGGAUCCCCCUGGGCCUUGGCACCAUUCUAGCAAAAAAGUAACAUGUCUGCAGGCCUUUGUUACUGGGGUCUGCUUCCCAACCUGCAGCGGGGCAGCUGGGACAACAGCAAGCUUUGUGUUUUUCAUCAAAGAGUAAUAUGCAGAAAUUUUGUAGGCAUAUAUGCAGAAGCCUAGAGGAAUAGGGCCACCAGUAAGAGAAAGCAAAAUUGUCUGAUGUAUGGACUAAACUGUACUCUUGAAUGCAAUACUCCUUAAUAAAACUCCUUACUAAUACUGCAAUCAAAUAUUACACAGAUGAAGCAUGUUUCUUUCUGUACUGUAGUAGAUAUUUUGUGCAAAGCACUAUCAGUACAAGCAAAGUAAGCCUAAUAAAUUAAAUCUCCUCAUAUUAGUCAUUUUCAAAAGACUUUGUCUGUUCCCGUUAAAGUAAAUCCUAUACCUUACCCACUUAAACUGCCGUGGUACUAAGUCUUCCCUAUAUAAUGGUAGCUGCUCAUUUGUCUUGCACGAGUAGUCUUUUUUAGCUGACCUGUGGUAUGACUUUAGCUGAAAAGAAUGCAAAACAGGAGCUGGUAGAGAGCAUUUCUACAUCUGAAGGUCAUAAAUAUUGAACAAAAUCCCUGUCAGGCUUGUAAAGAUGCGUCACGCCUCUUUUGGUUUUGUAGUCUGUCUUUAAAAAGCAAAGGUCUAGGAAGAGUAUUGGGGUAUAUAUAGAAUACUUCUUCACACUCCUAAAGGACUACAGACCCGCUUCUAGAAAUUUAUAAAUUCGUAAUAAGCACAAACACUAUGAGCUUCAAAAUGCUACAUUAAUGCAGUGCUAGCACUUUAAUAUCAGGCACUCAGAAAUCAGAAUAUUUUAGAAGGUUAGGCUGUUCUAAGAGUAAUGUGUCUGAGCUGUAUAUCCCACAUUACAUAUGGCAUAUUUUAAUAGUAAAAAUGUAUUAAAGCUUACAUUUAAAGAACCACUUUCUUGUUCGAUAUGUGAAGCUUAUGGUAAUGAAGAGUGUAAGACAAAGUCAAAUUUGAAGGUGAUCUCUUCAGUGGUUAGGAAUUUUCAAACUCAGGUUUCACAUGUCCUUUUUGGCUGUCAGAUUUUUCAUUGAAACACACAUUAAAUAUGCUAGAUGAAAUAAACAGGGUUGUCAUAGUUAACCAGUUCGCUAUUUAAAUAACAUCAGUACCUCUGAACUACAGUGGUGUUUUUUUUGUUUGUUUUGUUUUGUUCUUUUAAAUGAGAGAUGGAUAUACCUGCCUUGAACUUAAUUACAAAUUAAAAAAAAAAAAAAAAAAAAGGAAAGAAAAACAAAAACAGAUUUUUGAGAGCACCCACUACCUUUUAAGAUGAUCAUCCAUAACCAGCAAAGCAUAUAUUGGAAAAAAAUGUCUGUGGGGUGCUUCAUAUUCUUUCUUUGAGACCAACAUUGAAAAUUCUGUGUCAAAUUGAUCUUAUGAGAGGCUUGAAAUGGAUGCUAUUUUGAUGUCAUACUUUGUUUCAUGGAUGCUUCGAUGUUAUUAGUUCGUAUUGUGCUAUCUGGCAUUACUUAAAUUUUCUCAUAUCUUAACGUCUCCCUGUUUAGAUACACAUAAAGCAGCAUCAGUGGAUGUUUCAGAUUAAUAUUACAGCCCCGUUUUGAUGAGAUAUGCAUCAGAAAUUUCCUGACCCUCCCGUGGUCUUCUAAAGAAUGUUUUUCAGUGGCUAACCUUGACACCUACUUUUAGGAAUCUCACAUCAGCUGGAGGCCUGAGCCUGAACUUGUCAUACUCGCACUGAAUCAGCAUGGCUUCUCACUCUGGCUCUGCUUGAAAGUUAUCUGGGAGAUUAUAGAUGUGGAUGAGACCUGAAAAUGGACACUUCAUUUCCCUGGAUCCCACAUGCCACGACCAGGGAUGGUACACAGCCUUCCAGCCACCUCCCUUGAGCCCACAGGUUACAAGACUGCAGCAGGGAACAGGGCAUUCCUGCCUCACAUCUCAUCCUCAGGCUUAAUGAUUUGUGUCCUCACUAAGUCAUUUACAUCUUUCUUAUUAUCUGUGAAUAUAACUAGUAUCUCCACGGGAGGCUGAGUUCAACCUGUUCUCAUUUACUACUUACUGGAUUGCCUGACCUGAGCGUACUGAACUCAGUUGUUAUAUAAUUAAAAGUGGAAAAAAAGGGACUGUUGAAUUCCUAUCUUUUUCAUCUACUAAAUAGUUUUCCCUUUUUCGUUUUUCUUUUUUUUACUUUAAGCUAAAGAUCUCAGUAGAAGAGACGUUAAUCUAUACUUUCUUGUUUGUGUGUGUUUUACAACUGUUAGAAUAUAAACUAUCAUGUAACAUGUGGAUGUUCAAACACAGUUCCUAAUAAUGAUCUGUAGCCUAACAAACACUGGUUAAUUUUUUUAAGUAGAGUCAUGCAGAGUCCUUGACAUUUUACAAACAUAUCUGUGUGUUAGGAGUAGUAACAUUCUUCCCUAGUACAGUGCCUUCUUUGUUGAUGGCAAUGGUUGCAGAAAGUAUAUUCUAGAUAGAAAACAAUCCCAGACAUAUUCUGAAUCUAAAUAAGAUAUGGCAUAUUUAUUGUGCAGGUGUAUGUCUUUCACUCAUCUGCACAGAUAAAGCAAAAUCAUACUCCAUGAUUGUGUCUUGCUCUGCCUGUCAGAUUAGGAGCACACUGUCUGCAGCAGACUACAGUUUCUAUUCUUGAAAUGAGGCAGCCACUUUGCAGUUUGUGUUACAACAGAGUAGCUGUAUGAAUUUAACAAUCUCAAAAAAUAAUUCUCCUUUAAACAAAGAUGUGCUACGUAAAAAAGAUGUGCUACGUUUUGGCUUCAGCCUGUUUGCCUGUUAGCACUUUCUUCUGCUGGGGAUAAUGGUUGUUCCUGUUUCAGAAUUAACAGCCUUUUAGACAAAAAUGGCCUUUCUCACUGUUGAAGCUUCAACGGGAAAUAAAUGAUGGAAACAAAGUGGAACAGAAAUAAAAAGCAGAUGGGGG
rnacentral:lncRNA from 1 species